AUUGAACGCUGGCGGCAGGCUUAAUACAUGCAAGUCGAGGGGCAGCAUGACUGUAGCAAUACAGUUGAUGGCGACCGGCAAACGGGUGCGGAACACGUACAGAACCUUCCUUUAAGUGGUGAAUAGCCCAGAGAAAUUUGGAUUAAUACACCGUAACAGAUAGAGUUGGCAUCAAUUUUAUAUUAUAGCUCCGGCGCUUAAAGAUGGCUGUGCGGCUGAUUAGGUAGUUGGCGGGGUAACGGCCCACCAAGCCUACGAUCAGUAACUGGUGUGAGAGCACGACCAGUCGCACGGGCACUGAGACACGGGCCCGACUCGUACGGGAGGCAGCAGUAAGGAAUAUUGGUCAAUGGACGCAAGUCUGAACCAGCCAUGCCGCGUGGAGGAUGAAGGUCCUCUGGAUUGUAAGCUUCUUUUCUCUGGGGCGAAAACCUCCCAUUCUUGGGAGCUUGACAGUACCAGAGGAAUAAGCACCGGCUAACUCCGUGCCAGCAGCCGCCGUAA
rnacentral:rRNA from 1 species